rnacentral:rRNA from 1 species
UACAGAGGUCUCAAGCGUUGUUCGGAUUCAUUGGGCGUAAAGGGUGCGUAGGCGGCGCGGUAAGUCGGGUGUGAAAUCUCCGGGCUUAACUCGGAAACUGCCAUUGAUACUAUCUGUCUUGAAUACCGUGGAGGUUAGCGGAAUAUGUCAUGUAGCGGUGAAAUGCUUAGAUAUGACAUAGAACACCAAUUGCGAAGGCAGCUGGCUACACGAAUAUUGACACUGAUGCACGAAAGCGUGGGGAUCAAACAGG